rnacentral:rRNA from 1 species
CAAUAGCGUAUAUUAAAGUUGUUGCAGUUAGAACGCUCGUAGUCGGAUUUCGGGGCGGGCCGACCGGUCUGCCGAUGGGUAUGCACUGGUCGGCGCGUCCUUCCUUCCGGAGACCGUCCCUACUCUUAACUGAGCGGGGGCGGGAGACGGGACUUUUACUUUGAAAAAAUCAGAGUGUUUCAAGCAGGCAGCUCGCUCUUGCAUGGAUUAGCAUGGGAUAAUGAAAUAGGACUUUGGUGCUAUUUUGUUGGUUUCGAACACCGAAGUAAUGAUGAGAAGGGACAGUCAGGGGCACUCGUAUUCCGCCGAGAGAGGUGAAAUUCUCAGACCAGCGGAAGACGAACCACUGCGAAANCANNNGCCAGGGAUGUUUNCACNGA